rnacentral:misc_RNA from 1 species
UCUCCGUUGGUGAACCAGCGGAGGGAUCAUUAUCGAGUUUAUAACUCCCAAACCCUAUGUGAACUUACCACUUGUUGCUUCGGCGCGCGCUUCGGCGCCGCCGAGGACACUUAAACUCUUUGUUUUUAUAAGCAUUUCUGAGUGGCCGAAAGGCAAAAUACAAAUGAAUCAAAACUUUCAACAACGGAUCUCUUGGUUCU